UUUGGGUGCGGCUUCUAUAAUGCAGUCGAGCGAAUGGAUUAAGAGCUUGCUCUUAUGAAGUUAGCGGCGGACGGGUGAGUAACACGUGGGUAACCUGCCCAUAAGACUGGGAUAACUCCGGGAAACCGGGGCUAAUACCGGAUAACAUUUUGAACCGCAUGGUUCGAAAUUGAAAGGCGGCUUCGGCUGUCACUUAUGGAUGGACCCGCGUCGCAUUAGCUAGUUGGUGAGGUAACGGCUCACCAAGGCAACGAUGCGUAGCCGACCUGAGAGGGUGAUCGGCCACACUGGGACUGAGACACGGCCCAGACUCCUACGGGAGGCAGCAGUAGGGAAUCUUCCGCAAUGGACGAAAGUCUGACGGAGCAACGCCGCGUGAGUGAUGAAGGCUUUCGGGUCGUAAAACUCUGUUGUUAGGGAAGAACAAGUGCUAGUUGAAUAAGCUGGCACCUUGACGGUACCUAACCAGAAAGCCACGGCUAACUACGUGCCAGCCGCCGCGGUAAU
rnacentral:rRNA from 1 species